GAUGAAGAACGUAGUGAAAUACGAUAAGUAAUGUGAAUUGCAGAAUUCAGUGAAUCAUCGAAUCUUUGAACGCACAUUGCGCCCCUUGGUAUUCCGGGGGGCAUGCCUGUUCGAGCGUCAUUAUAACCCUCAAGCCUAGCUUGGUGUUGGAGCAUGCUACCUAAGCAGCUCUUAAAAUCAGUGGCAGUGCCCUUCGGCUCUAAGCGUAGUAACUUCUCUCGCUAUGGAACCCGGAGGGUACGCGCCAGAACCCCCAACUUUCUAUGGUUGACCUCGGAUCAGGUAGGGAUACCCGCUGAACUUAAGCAUAUCAAUAAGCGGAGGA
rnacentral:misc_RNA from 1 species